CUGCAACCCGCCCACAUGAAGUUGGAGUUGCUAGUAAUCGCGGAUCAGCAUGCCGCGGUGAAUACGUUCCCGGGCCUUGUACACACCGCCCGUCACACCAUGGGAGUUGGGAGCGCCCGAAGCCGGUGAGGUAACCGAGAGGAGCCAGCCGUCGAAGGUGAGACCAAUGACUGGGGUGAAGUCGUAACAAGGUAGC
rnacentral:rRNA from 1 species